AAAAAAACGUAUUUGUUACUCGUAAUUACCACAUGGUAUAAUUCCACGACGGACAUGGUAUCCGGUUCCACCAUAUGAGCACCUUGACGUGGCACCAGAUCCAAACCGAGCUUUCUGAAACGUGAGAAGAAAAAGAAAGAAGAAGAGAGAAAGAGAGAUGAUGAGGUCGACAGGUAAGGCCGCUAUGAUGGAAAAUGAGUAUCGGAUGUAUCGGGAAAACGGGAUGAGAGAAACAGGAUUAUUACAAUGAUUGAGGUGUACGUUGCAUCACACUUUGGGAGAUUCGCUUUCGAAGUGGUGCCUCGUAGAAGCGGCUACUUAACUUCUCAUGACCUCCGCGCGCGGAGCCGAGCCGGGUCGCAUGCCAUAGGGCCCUACGUGUUCUCGAACGCAUUGAGGGCCCUACAACAGGCCCGUCUCUCUUGGCGGUGGGCUUCUACAUUGGAGAACUCGCAGGAAUGCAGAGAGGCUGCCGAAUUGGAUUUUCGAUGGCGCUAAACGAGGCGCCUUGAUUAAGGGGUGAGCGAGGGGAGGGCGCCGCGCGCGAUCUCGACGAUCCUGCGGGCCUCCGAAAGGCGCCCCUCCAGUCUCCUCAUGAUGGAAUGCAGGUGAGCAGGCAGACUUCGAUGCGUGGAGACAGGUUCAGGCAAUGUCCGCCACCGCCGCGUCGUUGGGACCUAUGCCCCAUUCCAAAGAUAUCGGAUAUAUUCCAGCGGGGCCCGACCACCGGCCCCUGCGACGACGAGUCCCCGGCUCUCUCCCUCGACAGACUUUUCUCUCCUUCUCUCCGUCUCUUACCGUCUCAUCCCCGGGAUGACGAAUUCGUUCGGCCAUUGGCCGCGGAACACCUUGGGGCCCGCACGACACGUGCACGUGUCUCGAAGACGAGGACAACGAUGGACGCGGUGGUUUCUCCGUCGACGGAGCUUUGGAGGUUCGACGACAUCCCCGCCCACACCGAGGACUGUCUCUCGUUCGUGAGAGGGCAUCGAACUAUCAUCUCUCGGGGUUAUCGAUGUUAGCCAAGCGGCUGGCUUAUCUUGUCAAUGAGGAAGAACGAAGGAGGUCUCGCGGAUUAAAUCGAGCCUUUUGUCAUUUGUACAUCCUUCGGGGGACAAUCUUGCGCGAUUCAUAUCCGGGACAUCGACGAGAUCAUCAAAAGCGAGUCGUGUAAGCUCGCCUUUACAGGAAAGAACGAUGGAAUCUCGGCUUACGCGGACAGGAGUUCCUUCACAACCGCGUUACCCCGUAAGAAGGCAGCUUCGUGGAACGAGGAGAGGAAAAGAGUGCGAGAGGGAGAAGGACGAGAGAGUCAACGGAGAAAGAACGCGUCGACCGUACGACAAAGAUGGAAGGAAACAAAGACGAAGGGUCCGGAAUCACGAGAUUCGCGUGACGCUGCAUCGGCCGCUUCAGGCAUACCGCUCAUUAGAAAUAAUAAUAAUUGCCGCGAAUAAUGAAUAUUGCCGUCGCUGCUUCUGCCGCUACGUCAGUUUGACGUUCACGGGGAAGUUUAGCUUUAAUCGCGACGAACAACCGACAAUUAGGUAAAUGGAAUAUGAUAACGACGCUAUCAUUCGCCCCUCGUCGCCAAUCGCGAAUCAGUCAUCUCCGUCACCUCGAUGCCUCUCGUUAAAGCUGGAUGGAAUCGUUCGAGGCUAAAACUCGACGUUAUCAACACGUUUGAUGUGAUUAGCGUUAAUUAUAAUCAGCUAGAUUAGUGAUUAUUAAAUCGUUAUGUAAUCUGUGAUCUAGGAAAUAUUGCGAAAGAAAAACCUUGGAAAUUUCGUUGAUCUAUGUUAAUCGACAUUGGAGAAGUUUAAGUCCAAUAUAUUUGUGAAUUAAUUAUAUAAUUAUAUUAAAAACGGUAAUGUAAUACGCGCUUAAUAUGUUCGACUGCUGUUUCCGAUGCAAUCUUAAUUUUGUCAAAGACAUUCAACGCGGAAAUUCAAAGCUUAUGGAAAUCACGUGCGUCAAAUCUUUCUUUGAAUCAAAGUCUGAGAUCGUAUCCUCUAAAAAUUCCUUGUCCAUUGAAAGACGUAACUUUAGUUGCCAUUACAUUUCCGCUACUUUCAAUGUUCGUCGCGACCUUCUGGGUCACAGAAAUAUUUAACCGCAAAAUAAAUCGAUUUGCAGCAUUUUACAAGGCACUUUAAAAUCUUAGGAAUUUCAGAUAUUCCAGACCCUCGUUCGGAUUAAUGCCCAGAAUGAAUACAAAGAAGGAAGUUUCACACAGUUUCCAGGGAUAAAAAAAAAAAAAAAAAUCUUUGGACGGAUUUCAUUCCAAUUUCAUAUAAUAAUCAUUUGAUUAAUUAUCGACCUUACACUGAAAACAUAU